rnacentral:rRNA from 1 species
CUUAAAGGAAGUUGACGGGGCCCGGCACAAGCGGUGGAGCAUGUGGUUAAUUUCGAUGAUACGCGAGGAACCUUACCUGGGCUCAAAUGUAUGUUGACGUAUUCUGAAAGGGAUACUUCUUCGGACAAUAUACAAGGUGCUGCAUGGUUGUCGUCAGCUCGUGCCGUGAGGUGUCGGGUUAAGUCCCAUAACGAGCGCAACCCUACCUUUAGUUGCCAUCAGGUAAUGCUGGGGACUCUAAAGGAACUGCCUACGCAAGUAGUGAGGAAGGCGGGGAUGACGUCAAAUCAGCACGGCCCUUACGUCCAGGGCUACACACGUGCUACAAUGGCCGAUACAGAGGGCAGCUACCUGGUGACAGGAUGCAAAUCUCCAAAGUCGGUCUCAGUUCGGAUCGGAGUCUGCAACCCGACUCCGUGAAGUUGGAUUCGCUAGUAAUCGCGCAUCAGCCAUGGCGCGGUGAAUACGUUCCCGGGCCUU